AGCAUGUUAAUUUCCUUGCAAGUCUCCCAGAUGUCCUCACUUUAUGGCCAACGCUCAGUUUCAGUUUCAAUUUGUUUAUUUGCCCUUCUUCAGUCACAAAUGUGGAGCUGAAAAUACUGGAGAGGAGAGAAAGCAAAGAAAAAGGGGAGAAAAGGAGGGCUUGUGCUUCCCUCCUGGGAUGUAAGCAGUCAGGAGGAAGCUAAGAGGCUCGGACUUGUGUGGAGGUCAUUACCUCAUUGCCGAAGGAGGAAGCUAGACCAGCUUGCAGCUUCUCAGGAGAAUCCAGACCUGGGAGGAACCUUAGCAACGACCUCAUCAUAUCAAAAGGGAAGCUGAGGUUAUAGAAAAGAAAUGACUUGUCCAAGGUGAUAUGAUCAGUCCAGGCCAGAUAAGGACUGGAUCGCAGGUCCACUGACUCUCAGAUCAGUCUUCUUCCUGCCACCCCUUGGCCAUAAUGAAAAGUAAAGUGUUCCCAUCAAGUGUAGUAAUGCUGCUUUCUCAAGCUUUUGAGGGCCUAUCGCUUUGAGGAAAGAAAAUGUGAUAGAUAAAGUUUGUUUCCUACUGAGAAAUUUAA